rnacentral:rRNA from 1 species
AACGAACGCUGGCGGCAUGCCUAACACAUGCAAGUCGAACGAGACCUUCGGGUCUAGUGGCGCACGGGUGCGUAACGCGUGGGAACCUGCCCUUAGGUUCGGAAUAACUCCCCGAAAGGGGUGCUAAUACCGGAUAAUGUCUUCGGACCAAAGAUUUAUCGCCUUUGGAUGGGCCCGCGUUGGAUUAGCUAGUUGGUAGGGUAAAAGCCUACCAAGGCGACGAUCCAUAGCUGGUCUGAGAGGAUGAUCAGCCACACUGGGACUGAGACACGGCCCAGCCUCCUACGGGAGGCAUCAGUGGGGACAAUUGUACACUGGGCGAAAGCCUGCUCCAGCAAUGCCGCGUGAGUGAUGAAGGCCUUAGGGUUGUAAAGCUCUUUUACCCGGGAUGAUAAUGACAGUACCGGGAGAAUAAGCUCCGGCUAACUCCGUG